rnacentral:rRNA from 1 species
UGGGGAAUUUUGGACAAUGGGCGAAAGCCUGAUCCAGCCAUGCCGCGUGAGUGAAGAAGGCCUUCGGGUUGUAAAGCUCUUUUAGUCGGAAAGAAAGAGUUGCAAUGAAUAAUUGUGAUUUAUGACGGUACCGACAGGAAAAGCACCGGCUAACUACGUGCCAGCAGCCGCGGUAAUACGUAGGGUGCGAGCGUUAAUCGGAAUUACUGGGCGUAAAGGGUGCGCAGGCGGUCUUGCAAGUCAGAUGUGAAAGCCCCGGGCUUAACCUGGGAAUUGCGUUUGAAACUACAAGGCUAGAGUGCAGCAGAGAGGAGUGGAAUUCCAUGUGUAGCAGUGAAAUGCGUAGAGAUGUGGAAGAACACCGAUGGCGAAGGCAGCUCCCUGGGUUGACACUGACGCUCAUGCACGAAAGCGUGGGGAGCAAACA